rnacentral:misc_RNA from 1 species
UCUGUUGGUGUCAACUGCAGAUAAACAAUUGAUAAUCUUCACUGAUCCAGCUGUAAGUUGAAUUUCUUUUUUCCCCUUUCAUAUUCGGGAUUUUUAAUCAGUUGAUUCUUUUCCAUCUGCAAUAUUUUUCAGUCCAGUUUAGAAGCAUGUGCUUAGUUUGCUUUUGCCUGUAUUAGAUGGCUAUUGUUGAUUGAUCUUUUGAAGCUAGAUAACAAUUUAAAGUGAUUUUAUAUAGCAUUAUUCUUCAACAUGCCUGGCUAUCUUUGUGUUCUUAACUUGCUUAAAACAAAACUUUUGUUUUACGGAAGAUGUUGUGAUGAUAUUUAUAACCAGUAAAAUGUUUCAUGAUGGUUAAGGAACUGUUAUCGUGAUUGAAAUGCUUAUUAUUAAGUAAAUUUAUCAUGAGUUGAUCCAAUUUCUUCUGGCAGUUGAGCUUGAAAGUGGUAGAUCAG